UUCAACUGACACUAAUAAACCCAUGUCCUUCGUUAAAUCAACUCGAAAGUGAUUAUUAAAAGCAACCACCAAGAAGCCGGAAUCCAGUCCAGUGAGGAGGAGGCGUGCAUGAGAGCUCGUGUAUAGCAUUUGGACAAUGCUGAUGCUUGGAUCACGACUGGUUUUGUUGCAGAGAGCGCAAUCUAUCAACAUGUCAUUUGAGGCUUUUUUUAUUUGUCUUGGGCCAGGGCUGCCCUGGUUUUUAAACAGAGACUCUGUCACUCAGCAGCUUGGCCGAAGUUUUGUUCUUCUGUUAUUUCACAUGAGCCUCAAUUAAACAAACGUUUAAUUUAUGGGCUAGCAGUUAAGGAAUUUCUCUUGUUUGGUAAUGAAGUUGGGAAGCCUGGAGUUACAGUGUUGAGAAACAAAGUGCUGUCAUAUUUAGCUCCCCAGUAAUCGUUCCUUCACCAUGGAUUAAGAUGAUUGCUGGCUGUCAAGAUCUCCAGCAAGGAACCAGAUUGUGGUGGAAUAAAUGUGCUCCUCUCUGCAGUGAUAAUCAUCUUGGCACAAGGCAUUGCUUGACUACAGUUGUGCACAGUCGGCUCUGACACAGCACCAUGGGAAUCCAGAGCCCACCCAGUGCAGUUGCUCUGGAUUCACACUGGUGUAACCCAGAGUGGCCUAGCUGCUUUACAAAAGGCUUCUACAUGUCAAGGCCAAAAGCUCUGUGGCAUGAUGAGGCUGCUAAAAGCACCCUUAUUAAGGACUAAUGAAGAGAGCAUCCUUGGUGUUGCUGCUGCAGGGGAGUUGGAGGAAGAGCUUAGGAUGGUGUGACUUACUGCGGUCCCCUGGCACAAGGAGGUGGUGCACUUUGUCCAGCAGCUCACUGACCUUAUCCCUGUGAAACUGCCUGCAAGCAUGAGCACUCAAACUGUCUCCUCAGCUGUCACAAGGAGUUCGAGAUCAAUGGCAAGUGGAGCACCUAGAUCAACUCUGACCACUUCCAGGAGCUGGUGAGUGCAGGAGCAGAGCUGCAGCUCCCAGACUUUCACAGUGGCCAAUGGUACAGCCAGGAUUCCUUGCUGGGCACUCUUUGGGUCCAGAGAGAGGGGAUUCAAUGCCUUGGAUGUGAGAUACCAGCGGAAGACCAAAGCGAGGGAUAUCUGGGUGCCGAGGAUGGGGCUCACUGAACUCUGGGCUGCUGAGGUUUGGUCUCCGUUUCUAGGCUAACACUGAUUCUGAAUCUAUUUACCUAGACUUCUUUGAUGUUUGAUAUGGAGAAGGAGAGUAAAGCUUUUAUUUGAUCUUUUUGCCCUGUUUUUAGGGCUCCUUGGAUGAAAAUACUUAUAUUGCUUUCUUAUCUCAAGAUACAUCACAAAUGGUGUAUGCUGGCAGUUUAUCCUAACUGGCAGCGCAAUGAGGGAGGCAGUGGCUGUGGUCUCCACAGCAGAGAGGAUGAGGAGGGGGAACGUUCAUUUGACUUCUGUGCCCUGAUGCAAAGAGAGACUGGCUUGUGCUGGCACCAUCUUGGCAGCAAAACAUUCCACAUCCAUAAGGAUAAGUGCCAAGGGGACUUCAACACCACAGCUUUCUUGGAUCUGUGCUGGUAAGACUGCAGAUGGAUCUGGAUCUAAAAGCCUGAGCCCUGCUGGAAAUAUCAUUGUGCUGACAGUAACAGAUUUAUGUCUUUUAAAAACUGUUGCCAAUUCCUAUGAAAACCCCCAUCCCAUCCACUUGGGAAUGCUGUAAGUAACAGCACCCCUAUUAAUGUUUUCUGCAGUUUCUGGUAUCUCUCCAAACAUCUUCCAGGUUCAUGGGCUUGGCAAUGAAUGUUUUCCAAGUAGUUUUAUCCCAUUCCCCAGCAGCCCUAAGCAGUGAAUAUAACUCUUCAAAGCCCUGUUAGGCUCCGACUGUGUGUGUCCAGUGUCCUGCUGAUGGUGAAUGCUGUGGGGAGCCAGCAGGCUUGGCCAUCAGUGGGUGGCUUCCUUCGCUCCACGCAGGCAGAUGGACAGCAUUGCUGCUGGUUUGGGUAAUCUGAUGUAAAUAAACUGAAUCCAGCUGCAGAAACAGAUGCAGAGGUUGGGGGAAGAAACCGUGGUCAUGCUCAGGUGUUUGUGUUUUCCUGUUGGGCUCCAGAAGCAGAGAUCAGAGGUGUUCCCAGUGCUCCCACCUUAAAGAUGAGGUCCAUAAGCCUGCAGUUCCCAGUGGCACUGUAGGUGGUGAGUGUUCCUGAGACUGUGAUUCUUCUUUUUUUAAAGCACCUGAUUUCUU